GAUGAACGCUAGCGGCAGGCCUAACACAUGCAAGUCGAGGGGUAACUAGAGUGAUAGCAAUAUUACUUUGGCUAGACCGGCGCACGGGUGCGUAACACGUAUGCAACCUACCUUAUACUGGGGAAUAACUUCGAGAAAUCGGCGCUAAUACCCCAUAACACUGCGGAGAGGCAUCGCUUUGCAGUUAAAGCUCCGGCGGUAUAAGAUGGGCAUGCGGCCAAUUACCUAGUUGGUGAGGUAACGGCUCACCAAGGCUACGAUUGGUAGGGGUUCUGCGAGGAUGAUCCCCCACACUGGUACUGAGACACGGACCAGACUCCUACGGGAGGCAGCAGUGAGGAAUAUUGCGCAAUGGACGAAAGUCUGACGCAGCCAUGCCGCGUGCAGGAUGACGGCCCUCGGGUUGUAAACUGCUUUUGUACAGAACGAAAAGGUUUCUACUAAUACUAGGAGCUCAUGACGGUACUGUAAGAAUAAGCACCGGCUAACUACGUGCCAGCCGCCGCCGUAA
rnacentral:rRNA from 1 species